CCUACGGGGUGCAGCAGUGAGGAAUAUUGGUCAAUGGACGAGAGUCUGAACCAGCCAAGUAGCGUGAAGGAUGACUGCCCUAUGGGUUGUAAACUUCUUUUAUAUGGGAAUAAAAUGUUCCACGUGUGGGAUUUUGUAUGUACCAUAUGAAUAAGGAUCGGCUAACUCCGUGCCAGCAGCCGCGGUAAUACGGAGGAUCCGAGCGUUAUCCGGAUUUAUUGGGUUUAAAGGGAGCGUAGGUGGCUUGUUAAGUCAGUUGUGAAAGUUUGCGGCUCAACCGUAAAAUUGCAGUUGAAACUGGCAGUCUUGAGGACAGUAGAGGUGGGGGGAAUUCGUGGUGGAGCGGUGAAAUGCUUAGAUAUCACGAAGAACUCCGAUUGCGAAGGCAGUUCACUGGAAUGCAACUGACACUGAGGCUUGAAAGUGUGGGUAUCAAACAGGAUUAGAUACCCCAGUAGUC
rnacentral:rRNA from 1 species